UAGGGAAUAUUGCAAAAUGGGCGAAAGCCCGAUGCAGCAACGCCGCGUGGGCGAUGAAGGCCUUCGGGUCGUAAAGCCCUUUUUGAGGGGAUGAGGAAGGACAGUACCCUCAGAAUAAGCCUCGGCUAACUACGUGCCAGCAGCCGCGGUAAAACGUAGGAGGCGAGCGUUAUCCGGAUUUACUGGGCGUAAAGCGCGUGCAGGCGGAUUGGAGAGUUGGAUGUGAAAGCUCCCGGCUUAACUGGGAGAGGUCGUUCAAUACUUCCAGUCUUGAGUGCAGUAGAGGGAAGUGGAAUUCCGGGUGUAGUGGUGAAAUGCGUAGAUAUCCGGAGGAACACCAGUGGCGAAAGCGGCCUCCUGGCCCAUUUCUGACGCUCAGACACGAAAGCUAAGGUAGCAAACG
rnacentral:rRNA from 1 species